rnacentral:rRNA from 1 species
UGCGUAGGGUGCGAGCGUUGUCCGGAAUUAUUGGGCGUAAAGGGCUCGUAGGCGGUCUGUUGCGUCGGGAGUGAAAACUCAGGGCUUAACCCUGAGCCUGCUUCCGAUACGGGCAGGCUAGAGGUAUGCAGGGGAGAACGGAAUUCCUGGUGUAGCGGUGAAAUGCGCAGAUAUCAGGAAGAACACCAAUGGCGAAGGCAGCUCUCUGGGACGGUACUGACGCUGAGACGCGAAAGCGUGGGGAGCGAACAGG